AGGGUUUGAUCCUGGCUCAGGAUGAACGCUGGCGGCGUGCUUAACACAUGCAAGUCGAACGAAGCAUUUAGAACGGAUUACUUCGGUUUGAAGUUCUUUAUGACUGAGUGGCGGACGGGUGAGUAACGCGUGGGUAACCUGCCUUGUACUGGGGGAUAGCAGCUGGAAACGGCUGGUAAUACCGCAUAAGCGCACAAUGUUGCAUGACAUGGUGUGAAAAACUCCGGUGGUACAGGAUGGACCCGCGUCUGAUUAGCUGGUUGGUGAGGUAACGGCUCACCAAGGCGACGAUCAGUAGCCGGCUUGAGAGAGUGAACGGCCACAUUGGGACUGAGACACGGCCCAA
rnacentral:rRNA from 1 species